GAGUAACACGUGGGCAAUCUGCCCUUCACUCUGGGACAAGCCCUGGAAACGGGGUCUAAUACCGGAUACGAGNCUCCAAGGCAUCUUGGAGGUUGGAAAGCUCCGGCGGUGAAGGAUGAGCCCGCGGCCUAUCAGCUUGUUGGUGAGGUAACGGCUCACCAAGGCGACGACGGGUAGCCGGCCUGAGAGGGCGACCGGCCACACUGGGACUGAGACACGGCANAGACUCNUACGGGAGGCAGCAGUGGGGAAUAUUGCACAAUGGGCGAAAGCCUGAUGCAGCGACGCCGCGUGAGGGAUGACGGCCUUCGGGUUGUAAACCUCUUUCAGCAGGGAAGAAGCGAGAGUGACGGUACCUGCAGAAGAAGCGCCGGCUAACUACGUGCCAGCAGCCGCGGUAAUACGUAGGGCGCAAGCGUUGUCCGGAAUUAUUGGGCGUAAAGAGCUCGUAGGCGGCUUGUCACGUCGGUUGUGAAAGCCCGGGGCUUAACCCCGGGUCUGCAGUC
rnacentral:rRNA from 1 species